GAGCUGGCUGUGGUGGAGGCCGCGGCUGGGGGGUGGUGGCGGUGGGGGUGGUGGUUACAAAACUUUAAUUUCAAGUAGGAUCAGAGAAGAUGUCACCAAGAAGGUGACCACUGAGGAAAUUCUUACAGAGGUGCAGGAAAAGCAUUCUAGCAGAGGGUGUGGCAUGUGCAAAGGCCCUGAGGCAGAAGCAUGCCUGCCCUGUUUGUGAGCAGAGGAGAAACUGAUUCAAAUCAUCACAGGAGCCGGCUGGCUGCUGGGGGAGCCUACACUGCAAAGGAGAAGGGGCAGCUAUUGGGACCAGGUAGGGGGUGCCCGUCUGGGAGAUGCUGGUGGCUUCAGGGAGGGCAGCAGGGCAGUGGGAGAACAGGUGCAUUCUGGGUUUUCUUGGGAUUUUUUUAUUGCCUGGACGGCCCCAAGGUUUGGGGUCCCCCUCAGCUGAGAUGAGGGUUGUGGAGGCACCUGUUUGGGCUGGGGGGGGGUUGGGGGCGAGUAGUUUGUGCACAUGCUGAGUUUGAGAGGCCAGCUAGGAUCCCAGCAGUGAGUCACGGCUGGAGUCCAGGGCUGGGGUUGGGAUGCAGAUCUGGGGCCAGUCGGCCAGUCGAUGGUACUCGAAGAUUGGAGAAGGUCAGCAAGGGAGCGGCGAAGACAGGGCAGAAGAAUUGGGGGGGGGCGGGUCCAGUGCCAGGCCGGGGACGGGAGGAGAGACCAGCAGAGCUGAAGAGGAUGUGGGAGCGACCUGGGAGGGAAACCAAGCGAGCGAGGGGUCCUGGGCCAAGGGGAUGGAAGUCCCCCAGAGCCGUGUGCUGAUGGGCCCAACAAGGCGUCCCGCGGGGCGAGGUCCCAGGGGCCGUGCGCCAGGCGGUUGCGGGCUGGCGGCGCGGCUGGCUGACUCCAUGCCUGUGUUUGCACGGUUUCUAGUGGAAUGCUUCAUUAGGCGUCAUGGUGAUGGUGUCUUCUUACAAUUCCCAACAAGCACAAAGGGCCUCUUGCUAGGGGGGCUCCUGCUGCGGUGGCCACGUGGGUGCCCAGGAGAUGGACUCCCCCCGAAGCGCCACCACGCGGUCCAUCGACUGGAGCGGAAGACCCACCCAAUGCAGGGCAUGGAGGCACAUGGAAACUUCCUACUGAUUGUCCGCCUGCAGGAACAGCUGGAGAAAGGUGUACGGAUGACUGACCACCGACUGACUGACUGACCAACCAAUUGAGUGACUGACUGACUGAAUGAAUGAUGGAGCAAAUGUGAAUAACUGAGUGGAUGCAUAAUAAAUAAAGAAUGAACAAAA
rnacentral:lncRNA from 1 species